rnacentral:rRNA from 1 species
CAUAUUCGACAAUGGGCGAAAGCCUGAUCUAGCCCUGCCGCGUGUGUGAAGAAGGUCUUCGUAUUGUAAAGCACUUUAGGUUGGGCGGAAUGGUUGUUGGUUAAUACCCUGCAAUUUUGACGUUCCCUCCCGAAUAAGCCCCGGCUACCUUCGUCCCAGCAUCCGCGGUAAUAAGAAGGGUGCAAGCGUUAAUCGGAAUUAUUGGGCGUAAAAGGCGCGUAGGUGGUUCGUUAAGUUGGAUGUGAAAGCGCCGGGGUUAACCUGGGAAUUGCUUUCAAAACUGACGAGCUAGAGUACGGAAGAGGGUAGUGGAAUUUCCUGUGUAGCGGUGAAAUGCGUAGAUAUAGGAAGGAACACCAGUGGCGAAGGCGACCACCUGGGCUAAUACUGACACUGAGGUGCGAAAGCGUGGGGAGCAAACAGG